rnacentral:rRNA from 1 species
UACGUAGGGUGCGAGCGUUGUCCGGAAUUAUUGGGCGUAAAGGGCUCGUAGGCGGUUUGUCGCGUCGGGAGUGAAAACUCAGGGCUUAACCCUGAGCCUGCUUCCGAUACGGGCGGACUAGAGUACUUCAGGGGAGACUGGAAUUCCUGGUGUAGCGGUGAAAUGCGCAGAUAUCAGGAGGAACACCGGUGGCGAAGGCGGGUCUCUGGGAAGUAACUGACGCUGAGAAGCGAAAGCAUGGGUAGCAAACAGG